UCCAGCGAUCUGACCUCUCUGUACCCACAUCGUCUUCCUCCCCUUGCCAUACUCUGUACCAGGCCGUCCAGCUGCGCGCUAGGGUUCGGGAAGUCUGCUCCGUCGCCUCUCUCGCCCCCUCUCCUGGACUUUCUCCGACUUCUAUCUUGGACCUAGUUCCGGCGCCGUUGAAGCACGAGCUCCCCUCCUCUCCUCUGAGUCGCGCCCGACGAAGACGCCAUUGCCGCCGGCGAGCACGUAAAUGUAGAGGAGUUGUGCUGUAGCUCCUGGGGGCGAAGAGGAACUGCCCAAAGGAGUCAGCUAUCUUCUGCGCCUCGAGGAUUUUAGGCUGUGCAGUUGAAUAGUACCUAGCCAUCGUCCUUUAUAGCUCAGGAUCCAAGUCAGCCAUGGAGUCCAUGACAAGUGGUGCUCUAAGUAUUGGGUCAACUACGGCAAUGGGAGUUGAAGAUGAUGCCAACAGCUUUGCCAUGGGCACGAUCCAGCAGGUCGAAAACAAUGAAAAUAGCUACCACACGCCAACACGAACUAACAGUCUUCCGUUUUGUGGGUCAAGAUAUGAGCCGGAGUGUGAUCCUAACUUACAGCCCGUAAUUGGUAUGCAAUUUGACACUUGGGAGGAAGGUAUGACAUUCUACAAAAUGUAUGCUCAUGAAGUCGGGUUCUCGGUUCGCACAUGGACGACACACAAAGAUGAACAUGGCGUACUGUGGAAGAGGUUUGUUUGUGCUAGGGAGGGUUGGAGAAAGGAGGCCCCAAAAGAGGAAAGGAUAAAACCUAAACGAAAAUUCAAGUUAACCAGGUGUGGUUGUGAGGCUAUGAUUGGACUGAGGAGGCAGGAUGAUGGCAAAUAUAAGGUUGCCCGGUUUGUUCAAUCACACACUCACCAACUUAUUUCGCCAAGUAAGAGACAUCUCAUCAAGUCAAAUAGGGAAGUAAGUAGUGAGUUGAGGAGCAAACUACUUACAUGUCAUAAAGCAAUGGUUGGCACAUCUGCAGCAUAUCGCUUGCUUAGUGUAGAGAAGGGGGGUCCGGAAAAUGUGGGCUGCACGUCAGCUUAGUGUAAUGAAAUUCCUAGUCAAUAUGUGUUGCAUAGGUGGACUAAAAUGGCAGCACGUCAGCUUUCCUAUGACGCCAACGGACAUGAGCUAGAAGGCCCAUCUACAUGUCUUUCACCUACCAUAAAAAAGUUGUACUCGGAAACAUGUUCAAAAUUUAGCUUGGCACUUCAUGCAGCGAAACAUUGUGAGGAGAAAAUGAGAUAUUUUCACAAGGUUGUUGGUGAUGCCUUCACGCAAUUGGAACAGAUGGGUGCCAUUAGUGAGCAAAGUAAAGUUCAAGAAUUUGAAUCCUUCGUCGAAACAUCAUUCCCAAGUGUGAUCAGUAUUCAUCCACCAGAUGUAGCAAACACAAAAGGGAGUGGUAAGAGAUUGAAAAGGGGUUCAGAGCAAACAGUGAACCAAAAGAAGAAGAGGGCAAAUAGCAUCCAAAAGGUUCCUGAUAAGUAGGGGCGGUGGUUUCACUAAUUUGAUGUUGGAAUAAUUAUGUGAAGUCAUUCAGCUGGCUACAUUCUUGCUGGAAAUGGCAGUGAUAUUCAUAGGCGAUGAGGUUUUCGACUUUUGGUGCUUCCAGGAGCUCACAUUUUGCAAAUGUGUCACUGAAGCAUGCAUAUGUUCUAUGUCUGUAACUCUGGAUGUGGUCACUGUUAGCUUCAGGAAGUCGCUAACAGUAAACCAUGUUGUCCCAUUAGCCAUGUUUAACCAGGAAGAAAAGAUUGUAUGACCGGGCAACGAAUUGCUAAGCCUAGCUUAAUGUAGGUUUUAAGAUUUGGUUUGUCUUUCUGUGUUAUUGUCGCAGCUGUAGCCAGCUUGCUAUAUGUCGUGCUCAUGUGAACACUUUCCGAAUUAGGGCAACCUUAUUACUAUGUGUAUUGAGCACCGUUCA